UGGACUAGCGUAUGUUCCACAAAAUAGCCAUUUGGUUUGCUUACAAAGCCGAUACAACUAUAAAGUCAGAAGCCAUCAAACUCUUUGUGUUAUUCAAGCCGUAUAGAAGACAAACUUAAACUACGAAUUACAGCAGUAUUUUCCCACAGUUCAGUUGAUGCUUCACAUUUGCUGAUGAACCUUCUGAGAUCUUUGCAGGCUAAUACAUCUCCUCCCAUCCGAGAAGAAAUAAGAAGAGCAGAAACAGGAUGGAUUGAAAGAGAGCGGGUGAAAAAUGAAGUCUAAAAUAAUCGAAAGCCAAUUAAUAAUGUCAAACAUGCUAUCUGUCAUGGGGACGGGCUGUUGGCUAAUGAGUGUGUUUAUCGUGUGGGCUGAGCGAAGUGAGUGCAAUGGCAAAAACUUUGUCCCGAUCACGACGCACCUGUCAGACCAACACCUCAUCACUGGCACAUCGAGGGCAAACAUCAUUUUAUACGCCACUCUUUUUUUUCCCCCUGGAAUUAACUGCAGUCCAGGGAGGAUCUGCAGGACUUCAGAGCCAAUGGAUGAUUCACUUAAUUAUGGAGGCAGACUGGAGAAACACUUGUGUAAUGAUCUGCUGAAAGACAUGACUGCUUCAGAACUGACUUAAGCUGUGUUGCAAAUCGUUGUACUAUGCUGUGUACUUUCACUAUAUACACAGUGUACUUGUGCAGUAUCUAGUGCAGGGAUUCCCAACUUUUUUGUCAUCUGAACCUCUUUGACCGAAGAUAUUUUCUUGAGGCUAGGAUUUGGAUUUUAAAUUAUUAUUACGUUAAUUAUAUCAAUAAUACAAUCCAUUCACAUGUUUAAUGAUUACAUGACAUGCAGUUUAAACAAACGAAAUGCUCCCUUUUUAAAAUAAGUGUUUUAAUUUGGUAGAUUUAAUUUGAAAAUGCAUGCCUUGUUUUAAUUUAAUUUAUUUCUCUUUCGGUUCUGUUAUUUCUCUUUGAGUUAUGUUUAAGGUAUAGUCAGUAUUUUGGAUGAUGGUCUAUCAUUGCUGUUAAAUUGAUUUUGAAUAAGCUAGACGCAAAAUGCCACGUUUAAAAAAAAAAAGAAACAAAUUGUGGUUGGUCAUUUUAAAUAUCGGUCAGACAGUCUUUUCCUUUCUAAGCAGAUGGUUCUUGGAUGGAAUAAGCGGUAACGUGGACCAGACUCCAUGGCGCAAGUCAAAUGUGUGGCUAUUUGAGACUAGUACUUUGGGAAAAGAGUGAGGAUUUGUUAUGGACAUGGACUGAAACUGAUUUUGUCUUGUAUUAAUAGAGCCAGAUCAUCUGUAGAUGUUUGCUGAUGGAAUUAACUGUGACUUGCAUAAAAUAUAAACACAAUAAAACCACAUUAAUAUAA